rnacentral:tRNA from 1 species
GGUGCCGUAGCCAAGUGGUAAGGCAGCGGAUUGCAAAUCCGCUAUUCGCCGGUUCGAAUCCGGCCGGCACCUC